rnacentral:rRNA from 1 species
UACGGAGGGUGCAAGCGUUAUCCGGAUUCACUGGGUUUAAAGGGUGCGUAGGCGGGCAGGUAAGUCAGAGGUGAAAUCCCAAAGCUUAACUUUGGAGCUGCCUUUGAUACUGCAAGUCUUGAGUUUGAGAGAGGGUAAUGGAAUAUCUGGUGUAGCAGUGAAAUGCGUAGGUAUCAGAUAGAACACCAAUGGCGAAGGCAGUUACCUGGCUCAAAACUGACACUAAAGCACGAAAGUGUGGGGAGCAAACAGG